rnacentral:rRNA from 1 species
AGCGGCGCGCUUAACACAUGCAAGUCGAGCGAGAAAGGGUUUCGGCCCCGGUAAAGCGGCGCACGGGUGAGUAAUACGUAGGUAAUUCGCCCUUGGGUGGUGGAUAACUUUCCGAAAGGAAGGCUAAUACAGCAUGAGACCACGGUUUCGAAAGAGACUGAGGUCAAAGCCGGCCUCUUCAUGAAAGCUGGCGCCUGAGGAUGAGCCUGCGGCCCAUCAGCUAGUUGGUAGGGUAAUGGCCUACCAAGGCAAAGACGGGUAGCUGGUCUGAGAGGAUGAUCAGCCACACUGGAACUGAGACACGGUCCAGACUCCUACGGGAGGCAGCAGUGGGGAAUCUUGCGCAAUGGGCGAAAGCCUGACGCAGCGACGCCGCGUGAGUGAUGAAGGCCUUCGGGUUGUAAAGCUCUGUGGAGGGGGACGAAUAAGGGUUGGCGAACACCCAACUCGAUGACGGUACCUCUUUAGCAAGCACCGGCUAACUCUGUGCCAGCAGCCGCGGUAAGACAGAGGGUGCAAACGUUGUUCGGAAUUACUGGGCGUAAAGCGCGUGUAGGCGGCUCGGAAAGUCGGAUGUGAAAGCCCUGGGCUCAACCUAGGAAGUGCAUUCGAAACUCCCGAGCUGGAGUCCUGGAGAGGA